ACUUAUAGAAAAAGCACCGGCUAACUCCGUGCCAGCAGCCGCGGUAAUACGGAGGGUGCUAGCGUUAAUCGGAAUUACUGGGCAUAAAGAGUACGUAGGCGGUUUUUUAAGUCAGAUGUGAAAUCCCUAGGCUUAACCUAGGAACUGCAUUUGAAACUGGUAAGCUAGAGUCUUAUAGAAGGGGGUAGAAUUCCAGGUGUAGCGGUGAAAUGCGUAGAGAUCUGGAGGAAUACCGGUGACGAAGGCGGCCCUCUGGGUGAAGACUGACGGCUAAGGUAGGGGAGCGAAGCGUGGGCAGGAUUAGAUACCCUGGUAGUCCAGGCUGUAAACAAUGUCGAUUUGAAGGUUGUGGUCUUUGAGCUAUGGCUUUCGGAGUUAACGCGUUAAAUCGACCACCUGGGGAGUACAGCCGCAAGGUUAAAACUCAAAUGAAUUGACGGGGGCCCGCACAAGCGGUGGAGCAUGUGGUUUAAUUCGAUGCAACGCGAAGAACGUUACCUACCCUUGACAUCCAAAGAACUGUGUAGAGAUAUGCAGGUGACUUCGGGAGCUUUGAGACAGGUGCUGCAUGGCUGUCGUCAGCUCGUGUUGUGAAAUGUUGGAUUAAAUCCCGCAACGAGCGUAACCCUUAUCCUUUGUUGCCAUCGAGUCAUGUCGGGAACUCAAAGGAGACUGCCGGUGAUAAGCCGGAGGAAGGUGGGGAUGACGUCAAGUCAUCAUGGCCCUUACGGGUAGGGCUACAAACGUGCUACAAUGGCGUAUACAAAGAGAAGCGACCUUGCAAAAGUCAGCAAACCUCAUAAAAUUCGUCGUAGUCCGGAUUGGAGUCUGCAAUUUGACUCCAUAAAGUCGGAAUCGCUAGUAAUCGUGAAUCAGAAUGUCACGGUGAAUACGUUCCCGGGCC
rnacentral:rRNA from 1 species